CUCGCGGCCGGUGUGCGCAGCUCUGCCUUUUGUGAGGCUGAUUGCUAAUUGAGAGCAGCAGAGGCUCUGUCCCUCUUGUGCUGCCUUUAAAAUAUUCAUACAAUUAAAGAGCGCUUUGAAGUGCUCUGGAGUUGGAUGCACUCUGCUUCACUUUGGGUGAUCAGCAGAUGAGAAUGGAAAUGUUUUAAUUGGAUUUGGUCCUGAGAAAGUGUGCCAUGUCCUUGUUGGAAUUUCCUUGCCAAGGGAUACUGCACCUUCUCCUUGCAGCUCCCGGCAGAGGGGACCGUGAUAAAUGGCCUUUGUCUGCUGCUCUGCUUUCCUCUCGCAGAGCUGGGCAAGAACAAAUAGCAGCAGCGAGGCAGCGUGCGGCAGGAUGAAUGCCCUCCACAGAACAACUGCUGGGACUGUUGACACGAGAGUUUGUAAGAGGAACAAGAGGCAAUCUGCUGAUGCUGCUGGUUUGCUGCCUAACUUGUGCUGUGCCUGACUAAAUGUUGUGCCAGA